rnacentral:rRNA from 1 species
UACGUAGGCAGCAAGCGUUGUUCGGAGUUACUGGGCGUAAAGGGUGUGUAGGCGGUUGCUUAAGUUUGGUGUGAAAUCUCCCGGCUCAACUGGGAGGGUGCGCCGAAUACUGAGUGACUCGAGUGCGGGAGAGGAAAGUGGAAUUCCUGGUGUAGCGGUGGAAUGCGCAGAUAUCAGGAAGAACACCCGUGGCGAAGGCGGCUCUCUGGAACGCAACUGACGCUGAGACGCGAAAGCGUGGGGAGCAAACAGG